UCCUACGGGAGGCAGCAGUAGGGAAUCUUCCACAAUGGACGAAAGUCUGAUGGAGCAACGCCGCGUGAGUGAAGAAGGGUUUCGGCUCGUAAAACUCUGUUGUUAGAGAAGAACAGCCGUGAGAGCAACUGCUCACGGUAUGACGGUAUCUAACCAGAAAGUCACGGCUAACUACGUGCCAGCAGCCGCGGUAAUA
rnacentral:rRNA from 3 species